ACGUAGGGGGCAAGCGUUGUCCGGAAUGAUUGGGCGUAAAGGGCGCGUAGGCGGCCUGGUAAGUCUGGAGUGAAAGUCCUGCUUUUAAGGUGGGAAUUGCUUUGGAUACUGUCGGGCUUGAGUGCAGGAGAGGUAAGUGGAAUUCCCGGUGUAGCGGUGGAAGGCGUAGAGAUCGGGAUGAGGAGCAGUGGGGUGGGGGACUUACAGGAAUGUAACUCACGCUGCGGCGGCUGAGUGUAGAAAACAAGGAG
rnacentral:rRNA from 1 species